GUUAGCCUACGGGAGGCAGCAGUGAGGAAUAUUGGUCAAUGAGCGGGAGCCUGAACCAGCCAAGUCGCGUGAGGGAAGACGGUCCUAUGGAUUGUAAACCUCUUUAGGCGGGGAGCAAUGCCGGGCACGUGUGCCCGGAGGGAGAGUACCCGCAGAAUAAGCAUCGGCUAACUCCGUGCCAGCGGCCACGGUAAUACGGAGGAUGCGAGCGUUAUCCGGAUUUAUUGGGUGUAAAGGGUGCGUAGACGGGAAAUUAAGUUAGUUGUGAAAUCCCUCGGCUUAACUGAGGAACUGCAACUAAAACU
rnacentral:rRNA from 1 species